GUUUGUCCUGUUUGUUGCACCUGGAUGUAAGAGCUGUGGUACACCUUUGGACUAGCACUUCAUGAGCAAGUUUGCGCAGGAAAUAACCGAGUGCUGCAUGGCAAGCCCUUUAAACACUGCAGACUGUCAGAUCACCUGCUAGGCAUCAAACGCACCUCGAAGGUCAGAGGUUAGCAUGGCGGAGUGUUUCUGUCCGAGUUGGACCAGUUCUGUGAAGGAUUUACUCUCCACUGUGAGACCGACGAGGACACCGUGCACUGCUUUACUUCAACAAGGGUUACAAGGGUGGGUGGAUGCAGUGCAGUGACCUCAGCUAAGUGCUCCCUCACCAGACAAACGGUCCACUGUGGCGGGCUGUAAGGCCUGGAGCUCCUUGAGGUCC